CACGACAGAAGCCUUUCUGUUGUGAUAUAUGUGAACACAAAUUUGACAAAAAAUCUGCUUUAAACAGACACAUGAAGAACCAUGCAAUGCAAGACAAGGCAACUUUAUUUGUAUAGCACGUUUCAGAACAAGAACACUCAGUCAAUCCUGAGCAAAUGUGUUUAUAAUCUUGAUUUAAAAUAACUCAGGCUUUCAAGUACUUUACAGUCUUCUAGAAGUUUGUUCCAGUUGGUAGAAUAUAGGAAGUCAACUUGCUACAAGUUGGAAAGUGCUUUGGGUUCCUUGGACUAAUUAAAGUGCUAUACAAGUACAUAAGACAUUUACCAGAUUAGGUUUGAAUCAGAAGACCUGAGUGGUCUGGAGGGUUGAUACACUGAUAAUCUUUGAUGUAUUUAGGUGUUAAUGUUAGGGGAUUUUAUAGAUUAACUCAAGUAUUUUAAAGUCAAUUGUCUGAGAUUGAUGUUCUCUACUUUUGUCUUAGUGAAGACGUGGUCAGCAGUGUUCUGGAUCAACUGCAGCUGUCUGAUUCACUUUUUGGUGGACCUGUGAAAACACUGUUUCAGUUUAACUGGCAUCUCACCACAAAGCACCCAGUUUAAAGAUAAAACCAAAUCUGUUCUGAACACAGCUAUCACUGCAGUUAACUUUGUAAAAAUCCAGAGCUUUGCAAUCACGGCUGUUUGGUCAACUUUGUCCAAAUCUGGAAGCUGAACAUGUGUUGCUUUAUCACCGAGGUGUGAUGGCUGUCUCAUCGGGAAAGUGUUUCAGAGUUUUUGAGCUACGCAGAAAAACGGCUAAAUGUAUGAGAGGAAAAACUGUGAGGGAUGUUGUGACUUCACACCUAACAUCACUGUGUGAGCACUUCAGCUCAUAUUUCUCUGAUGUGAACACUGAUGCCUGGGACUGGGUGCUGAUCCAUUUUCACCUGCUGCAACAAGAAAUGCCUUAGCAGGUAAAACAGAAAAAAUGCUCUUGGAGUUAUCUUGUGACAGAACAUUGAAGGCCAGAUUCCAACAGGAAAAUCAUGCAAACUUUUGGGCCUCCCUCUCACAUGAGUAUCCUGAACUGGCUGCUGAGGCCAUGAAAAUAUUGCUGCCGUUUUUGACCACUUUCCUCUGUGAAUCAACAUUUUCAACUCUGACUUUAAUGAAGAACAAAUGCAGAGCUUGUCUACAAGUGAAAGAUGAUCUUAGAGUUUGUUUGUCAUCCAUGCCUCCAAGAAUAAACUGUGUGGGGAGAGACAGGCUCAUCCUUCUCACUAAUAGUUAAGAAGUCAUUGAUGUCACUGAUGAAUGGUUUGACUGCUUGUAACAAAGCCUAAAGCAGAUAUUAAUAGAAAUGUUUCUUUGUUUGUUUUUUUUGCCAAUACAUAUAAGAUGUUUGUUGUGGCUUUAAUUUGAGUAAUGGACCAAAUAGGGUUCACUGGAAUUUCUUGUAGUCUUCUCAUGUUUUUUGAAGCUUUAAAUUGUUAUAUUUGAAGAAAACAUCUAGUGAAAAUUUAACUUGAAAAAAUGUCCUUUGCAUUGUAAAUGUUAAAAUCGUUUUCAUUCCUUUAGCAUAUUAGUGAUCGACUGAUACGUGUUUUUGAAGGCAGAUGCCAAUUAUUUUGACAUCAGUCUACCCUCUAUGUGCUGCCUAUUUUUUGGGCCUAUUCUUGCAGAUGAUGUUGCCUUUUAUUUCCUUAUAUGAUAAAAAUGACACAUUUAUAACAAAUAUUGCACAACUCGUAAUUUUAACAAAAAAGAAACAUUAGCGAAUUCAACAAAACAUUAACAAUUGAUAGCAAAUGCCCAAAACCCUGCCUUAGUGGUUUCCUCAGGGCGCUGCCUUUAACUCAGUGGAAAGAUAGGAACCACAUUUGGGGAGGGGGAGGAGAAAAAGGCAUAUUUCACACUUUAUCCUUAAAGGGUACAGUUUGAGAUAUCAAAAAACCUCCACAUGAGAGAAGCACAUAUGACGAGACAACAUUUAUGCAGAGGGUUUAAAUUGGAGACUAGUCGCAUGUAAACCCAUAUAGAUUAUGGCCGUCAGUUGUGUGUGUGUGUGUGUGUGUGUGUGUGUGUGAAUGUUCUUCAGUUUGUUCAUGAAUGCUGUCCAGAGGGCCAUUGUCCUUGAUAUGAUGGAAAGUUUAUCAACCGGCGCCGCUGUUCUGAACGCAUCCACAGAUGUCCGCAGGGGAGGAGGGAGAGGGGGGAGUAGUUCUGGGCCCUCUCGCCAUAACAUCCAGGGGAGUUUUAGAUGAGGGGAAGCCUAGUCCAAAUACACUUUUGUUUUGAGAAGCAAGCUGCACACAUUUUCCUCAGCUUUGAGCCCUUUGUCCUUGGCUCCACGUGGCGAAUCCGAUAUUUCAAAUUAGUUGGGCUUUUUCCGCGUUUCACAUCCCUUAUUUAUCCCAUCUAUCCUCUGAGUUCAACCAACGUAGCCGGCCUCCGUUCCAUCACAUCUAGCUUACGGCUCUGCUCGUCCAACUUACAGUUCUACUCGUUCACAGCCUUAGUAAUGGCAUCAAAAGCGGCCAUAUUUGCCACGGACAUCCUCUGAAGUUGCUGAUACAUCAGAAAUCUUCCGAAUCCAAAUAGAAGAAAUCCGAGUAUCAUGAAUCCAAACAUGUCAAUAAUAUUACCAGAUGUAAUGAAAUACAAUGUAUACGUAUGUGUUGGCCACACCUGCAACCACACAGUCAGUAACCCCACAAACAACCACUUCUUCAUUUUAAGUUUUCACACACAUACACUGCAGUAUAAAUACAUCGGUUUGUUUUUUAUUGUGACAAUAUUGAAAGUUUUAGUUCCAAUUGUAGCGCGCACAUUUGGUCAACUUUUGUAGAUUUAAUUUAGUCAGAUACUUACCAUUGGUUUGUGUUUCCUGUUCUGGUGUUGUGGGGAGUACCUCAUCUGGGCUGAAGCGGAGGACUCUGGCUGGAACACUCCAGUCCCAGAUUGACUGACUGACUGGGUGGUACCAUCUGGAGUUCCUCUAGGGGGAACGACCAUGGAGUCCUUAUUCUAACUCUUUUGUAUAAUCUUUUUUUUUGUGAUUUGUCUGUGUUGUUAAUUGUGUUUAGUUAUUAGUCAUUUAAGUUUAAUCCUUAAGCUAACAUUAAUUAUUUUUGUUAAGUUUGUGUAGAUGUUCCCUUUUCCUCAGUGGGUCAGUCUGGUCUGAUCAGGCAGUAUUUAAGCCCCCUUUGUUGUGUGUCAGGUCAGUUUGUUCGUUUGAGGUUUAGUUUAACUUUGACAAUUUUUUGCCUUAAAUUAGUUUCUUCAUUUGACCUCUUUUAAGGGCCCUGUAAUUAUUGUUUCGACUUUUGUUACUUUGGGGAAAUAAAACCCAUUUUUCUUGGAAAAUCA